UACGGAGGAUCCAAGCGUUAUCCGGAUUUAUUGGGUUUAAAGGGCGCGUAGGCGGGCCAUAAAGUCAGGGGUGAAAUCCUCCAGCUUAACUGGAGAACUGCCUUUGAUACUGAUGGUCUCGAGUAAGGUAGGGGCAUGCGGAACUGAUGGUGGAGCGGUGAAAUGUGUUGAUAUCAUCAGGAACUCCGGUGGCGAAGGCGGCAUGCUGGACCUUCACUGACGCUGAGGCGCGAAAGCUAGGGGAGCGAACGGG
rnacentral:rRNA from 1 species